AAACUUUCAACAACGGAUCUCUUGGCUCUGGCAUCGAUGAAGAACGCAGCGAAAUGCGAUAAGUAAUGUGAAUUGCAGAAUUCAGUGAAUCAUCGAAUCUUUGAACGCACAUUGCGCCCCUUGGUAUUCCGAGGGGCAUGCCUGUUCGAGCGUCAUU
rnacentral:rRNA from 2 species